rnacentral:rRNA from 1 species
UACAGAGGGUGCAAGCGUUGUUCGGAAUUAUUGGGCGUAAAGCGCGUGUAGGCUGCGACGUAUGUCGGGUGUGAAAGCCCUCGGCUCAACUGAGGAAGUGCGCCCGAAACUACGUUGCUCGAGUGCUGGAGAGGGUAGCGGAAUUCCCGGUGUAGAGGUGAAAUUCGUAGAUAUCGGGAGGAACACCAGUGGCGAAGGCGGCUACCUGGACGGACACUGACGCUGAGACGCGAAAGCGUGGGGAGCAAACAGGAUUAGAUACCCUGGUAGUCCACGCUGUAAACGAUGGGAACUAGGUGUGGCGGGUGUUGACCCCUGCCGUGCCGAAGCUAACGCAUUAAGUUCCCCGCCUGGGAAGUACGGCCGCAAGGUUAAA